UUAACUAUCUGCAACAUCUGUCACCAUAUUGAUCACAAAGGUUGAUGUGGCUGCCAACCUGGCUAGCUAUGCGGGUGUACCCUUCCUCCCUCACUGCCCCAUGUACAUCCUUCCCAAAGCUCUGUGCUUGGUUGAAGAGAGCUACCUUCCCUGAUAAAAUGGUUAAGUGAUACAAGUUUUAUAGCAGGCUUCAGCUUCAAAUUGAAAAUCGCUUAAUUAU
rnacentral:lncRNA from 10 species